rnacentral:rRNA from 1 species
GACGAACGCUGGCGGCGUGCUUAAUACAUGCAAGUCAACUGAACUUAAGAUAGCAAUAUUUUAAGGGAGGUGGCGCACGGGUGAGUAACACGUAGGUAAUCUGCCUUUAGGUCUGACACAACCCCGAGAAAUCGGGGCUAAUAUCAGAUGAUGCAGCGGCUCGACAUCGAGACAGUUGUUAAACCUUCGGGGCCUAGAGAUGAGCCUGCGUCUGAUUAGGUAGUUGGCGGAGUAAAAGCCCACCAAGCCUGCGAUCAGUAGCUGGUCUGAGAGGAUGAUCAGCCACACUGGAACUGAGACACGGUCCAGACUCCUACGGGAGGCAGCAGUAAGGAAUAUUGCUCAAUGGCCGAAAGGCUGAAGCAGCAACGCCGCGUGAAGGAUGAAAUACUUUUGUAAUGUAAACUUCUGUAAGAUAGGGAAAAAUAUCUCGCUCGGUGAGAUUGAUUGUACCAUCAGAGU